rnacentral:rRNA from 1 species
UUCGUAUGCGAGUGUUCGGGUGUUAAACCCCUACGCGUAAUGAAAGUGAACGCAGGUGAGAGCCCUCCAGGGCGCAUCAUCGACCGAUCCUGAUGUUCUCGGAUGGAUUUGAGUAAGAGCAUACGGGGCCGGACCCGAAAGAAGGUGAACUAUGCCUGUAUAGGGUGAAGCCAGAGGAAACUCUGGUGGAGGCUCGCAGCGGUUCUGACGUGCAAAUCGAUCGUCAAAUAUGGGCAUGGGGGCG